AGGACGAACGCUUGCGACGUGCCUAAGAAAUGCAAGUCGAACGAGGUAGCAAUACCUAGUGGCGAACGGUCGCGUAACACGUGGGCAACCUGCCCUAAAGUGGGGGACAACACGCCGAAAGGUGUGCUAAUACCGCAUGUGGAUCAGAAUGGCAUCAUUCAAGAUCCAAAGGAUUUAUUCGCUUUAGGAUGGGCCCGCGGCCUAUCAGCUAGUUGGUGAGGUAACGGCUCACCAAGGCUUCGACGGGUAGCUGGUCUGAGAGGACGAUCAGCCGGAUUGGGACUGAGAUACGGCCCAGACUCCUACGGGGGCAGCAAUUAGGAAUCUUGCGCAAUGGGCGAAAGCCUGACGCAGCGACGUCGCGUGAAGGAUGAAAUCUUUCGGGAUGUAAACUUCUUUUAUCAGGGAAGAAACAAAUGACGGUACCUGAUGAAUAGCCCCGGCUAACUACGUGCCAGCAGCCGCGGUAA
rnacentral:rRNA from 1 species